rnacentral:rRNA from 1 species
UAGGGAAUAUUGGGCAAUGGGCGAAAGCCUGACCCAGCCAUGCCGCGUGCAGGACGAAGGCCCUCUGGGUUGUAAACUGCUUUUUUAUGGGAAGAAAGAGUUUCUUGCGAGAGAUGUUGACGGUACCAUAAGAAUAAGCCACGGCUAACUACGUG